rnacentral:rRNA from 1 species
AACGAACGCUGGCGGCAUGCCUAACACAUGCAAGUCGAACGAGACCUUCGGGCCUAGUGGCGCACGGGUGCGUAACGCGGGGGAACCUGCCCUUAGGUCCGGCAUAUCUCCCCGAAAGGGGUGCUAAUACCGGAUAAUGUCUUGGGACCAACGAUUUAUCGCCUUUGGAUGGGCCCGCGUUGGAUUAGCUAGUUGGUAGGGUAAAAGCCUACCAAGGCGACGAUGCAUAGCUGGUCUGAGAGGAUGAUCAGCCACACUGGGACUGAGACACGGCCCAGACUCCUACGGGAGGCAGCAGUGGGGAAUAUUGGACAAGGGGCGAAAGCCUGAUCCAGCAAUGCCGGGUGAGUGAUGAAGGCCUUAGGGUUGUAAAGCUCUUUUACCCGGGAUGAUAAUGACAGUACCGGGAGAAUAAGCUCCGGCUAACUCCGUG